rnacentral:rRNA from 1 species
GAGGAAUAUUGGUCAAUGGGCGAGAGCCUGAACCAGCCAAGUAGCGUGCAGGAUGACGGCCCUAUGGGUUGUAAACUGCCUUUAUGCGGGGAUAAAGUGCGCGACGUGUCGUGCAUUGCAGGUACCGCAUGAAUAAGGACCGGCUAAUUCCGUGCCAGCAGCCGCGGUAAUACGGAAGGUCCGGGCGUUAUCCGGAUUUAUUGGGUUUAAAGGGAGCGUAGGCCGCCAGGUAAGCGUGUUGUGAAAUGUACCGGCUCAACCGGUGAAUUGCAGCGCGAACUGUCUGGCUUGAGUGCACGGUAAGCAGGCGGAAUUCAUGGUGUAGCGGUGAAAUGCUUAGAUAUCAUGAAGAACUCCGAUUGCGAAGGCAGCUUGCUGCAGUGCGACUGACGCUGAUGCUCGAAGGUGCGGGUAUCAAACAGGAUUAGAUACCCUGGUAGUCCGCACGGUAAACGAUGGAUGCCCGCUGUCCGCCCAUUUGUGGCGGGUGGCCAAGCGAAAGCGUUAAGCAUCCCACCUGGGGAGUACGCCGGCAACGGUG